rnacentral:tRNA from 1 species
GGCCGCGUGGCGCAACUGAAUAGCGCAUCAGAUUUCGGCUCUGAGGGUUGCAGGUUUGAAUCCUGCCGCGGUCACUA